rnacentral:rRNA from 1 species
GGGGAAUAUUGCACAAUGGGCGCAAGCCUGAUGCAGCAACGCCGCGUGAGUGAUGAAGGUCUUCGGAUUGUAAAGCUCUGUCUUUUGGGACGAUAAUGACGGUACCAAAGGAGGAAGCCACGGCUAACUACGUGCCGGCAGCCGCGGUAAUACGUAGGUGGCAAGCGUUGUCCGGAUUUACUGGGCGUAAAGGGUGCGUAGGUGGAUAUUUAAGUCAGAUGUGAAACCCCUGGGCUCAACUCAGGGACUGCAUUUGAAACUGGAUAUCUGGAGUGCAGGAGAGGUAAGUGGAAUUCCUAGUGUAGCGGUGAAAUGCGUAGAGAUUAGGAAGAACACCAGUGGCGAAGGCGACUUACUGGACUGUAACUGACACUGAGGCACGAAAGCGUGGGUAGCAAAC